rnacentral:lncRNA from 1 species
CCCAUGGGAUUGAUUUGGAAGAGGAUCAUCCUAAAGAUGUUUUCCCACGUACUAGCAUCCCUAAUUACAAAGAAAUCAUCCUCAAAUCAUAGCCACACAUGAAAAAUGAAAGCUAAUAAAACGACAAAAAUCAAAGGAUAGAAAGAGAGGGGCAUACAAGAUGAAUUCAACAAGUUUUUUUCUACCUCAAAGAAACCAUGAAUUUAACUAUGCUUCAGAUUAGCCUACCUCCCAACAUUCUCCCACUCAUGUAAAGAAAAAGAUUAAGAACUACCACCUACAUGCUCCUCGCUCUGCCACCACCACCAACGCGCCUAGGUCCCCUCUUUCUUUCUCUCUGGUGUGUCUGCUAGAGACAAGGGGAGGGGACCCAUCCUUUUUCACAAUUUUCUAGUGUCUUAGGAUUGAGUUUAAAUAAAUUUUCAGCGAAAUCAGAUGAUUUCCAGGUCAUGUGUCCUGCAGCGACUUUAGCCAUUGCCACGACGAGAUCGCCGUUGUAGCUGUCAACUUCAUCAAUAGGCAACCAAUUUUUUUUCCUUUGUGUGCAAGGGAAGGGUGCUUCUUCUAGG